rnacentral:rRNA from 1 species
UACGUAGGGGGCGAGCGUUGUCCGGAAUUACUGGGCGUAAAGGGCUCGUAGGCGGCCAACUAAGUCGGAUGUGAAAUCCCCAGGCUCAACCUGGGAACUGCAUCCGAUACUGGAUGGCUUGAAUUCGGGAGAGGGAUGCAGAAUUCCAGGUGUGAGCGGUGAAAUGCGUAGAUAUCUGGAGGAAUACCGGUGGCGAAGGCGGCAUCCUGGACCGACAUUGACGCUGAGGAGCGAAAGCCAGGGGAGCAAACGGG